UGAGUAACACGUGGGUAAUCUGCCCUGCACUUCGGGAUAAGCCUGGGAAACUGGGUCUAAUACCGGAUAUGAACUCCUGCCGCAUGGUGGGGGUUGGAAAGUUUUUCGGUGCAGGAUGAGCCCGCGGCCUAUCAGCUUGUUGGUGGGGUAAUGGCCUACCAAGGCGACGACGGGUAGCCGGCCUGAGAGGGUGAUCGGCCACACUGGGACUGAGACACGGCCCAGACUCCUACGGGAGGCAGCAGUGGGGAAUAUUGCACAAUGGGCGAAAGCCUGAUGCAGCGACGCCGCGUGGGGGAUGACGGUCUUCGGAUUGUAAACCCCUUUCAGUAGGGACGAAGCGCAAGUGACGGUACCUGCAGAAGAAGCACCGGCUAACUACGUGCCAGCAGCCGCGGUAAUACGUAGGGUGCGAGCGUUGUCCGGAAUUACUGGGCGUAAAGAGCUCGUAGGCGGUUUGUCACGUCGUCUGUGAAAUCCCUCGGCUUAACCGGGGGCGUGCAGGCGAUACGGGCAGACUUGAGUACUACAGGGGAGACUGGAAUUCCUGGUGUAGCGGUGAAAUGCGCAGAUAUCAGGAGGAACACCGGUGGCGAAGGCGGGUCUCUGGGUAGUAACUGACGCUGAGGAGCGAAAGCAUGGGUAGCGAACAGGAUUAGAUACCCUGGUAGUCCAUGCCGUAAACGGUGGGCGCUAGGUG
rnacentral:rRNA from 1 species